rnacentral:lncRNA from 1 species
AAUAUAGUAACAACAUUACAACAUUUACUUUUUUUUAAAGAAAAUGUCUUCAUCCAUAAACAGUAAAAACCAUUUUGCUUAAGCAAGUCAACAAAAAACUUAGGCUUAUGAAUAAAUAUAUAUCUUUCAAUAGUCCUUACUACAUUUCUAGGUAAGUUAUGUACUAUUCUACUAAACUUUUAAAUCUGACUAAGAAGAAAAGAAACAAAAUACGAAAUGAAAGCUUAAACAUCCUCAAAUAACAAUCCAAACUUUAGAAAAAUAUUCGUCAAGUAUAAAAUUUAUAUCU